UACGUAGGGGGCUAGCGUUGUCCGGAUUUAUUGGGCGUAAAGAGCGUGUAGGCGGCCAGGUAGGUCUGCUGUGAAAACUCGAGGCUCAACCUCGAGACGUCGGCGGAAACCAUCUGGCUAGAGUCCGGAAGAGGAGAGUGGAAUUCCUGGUGUAGCGGUGAAAUGCGCAGAUAUCAGGAAGAACACCCGUGGCAAAGGCGGCUCUCUGGGACGGUACUGACGCUGAGACGCGAAAGCGUGGGGAGCGAACAGG
rnacentral:rRNA from 1 species